UCCCUGAUAGCUCAGUUGGUAAAGAAUCUGCCUGCAAUGCAGGAGACCCUGGUUUGAUUUCUGGGUCAGGAAG
rnacentral:tRNA from 1 species